rnacentral:lncRNA from 1 species
CCAGCAGUGUAUUCUAGAGUGACAGAUCCCAAGAGGCACAGAGAAGAGGAGAACAAAGAAGCAGAGCCACCAGCUGAUUUCCCCAAUCCCCUGUCCAAUAUCAUCUUAGAUCCUGGCAAAAAAAGCAAAAAAAAAAAAAAAAAACAACCCACAAACCCUGCAGCCGUGAUGUAUUCAUACAAGGGAACAUCCUUUGGCCCUAAUAAGGUGUGACGUGCGGAUACGUGCUUCAAUACGGAUGGUUCUUAAACUCAUAAUGCUACGUGAAAGGAGCCAGUCACAAAGACACAUAUUGUGUGACUCCCUUUAUACCAAAGAUCCAGAAAAGGUCCAGUGGGUAUGGGCUCCGCUCCUCACAGCCUUGCAGGGACCAGGACCCUCCACCCCAGUCUCAUGAAGGCCUUAACAUCCUCGCCUGGGUCCUCUACAUCCAGCCAUUGGACAGGCGAGAAAGUGAGCCAAGGUGAGUUUUUCAGGGGUCAGACCAGGC